rnacentral:sRNA from 1 species
GAUAUUCUUUGCCUUGGGGUCUCCAAUUGCUAUGUUUCUCACUAUUCGAGGAGUUGAUAGGAUAGAUGAGAAUUACAGCCUUCCUACCUGUAAAGGGUUCUUCAAUAUUUAUCAUCCGAAUUGAAAGAGAGUCUCUCUCGUAUGGGAUCUGAUUUGAAGCAGGGUUUUAUUAGCUCUCUCAAAAGUGCUUGGCAGACAUUAAAUGAGUUUGCCCGUGCUCAUACCUCUUCAACCCAGUUGCAAGAAGAAUUGGAGAAGGUGGCCAAUCAGAUCAAAGAAGAAGAAGAAAAGCAAGUAGUUGAAGCAGAAAAGGUUGUUGAAAGUCCAGAUUUUUCCAAGGAUGAGGACUACUUAGGAAAGGUUGGAAUGUUAAAUGGAGGCCGCCGAAUUGACUACGUUCUCCAAGAAAAACCAAUAGAGAGUUUUAAUGAAUACCUUUUCGCUCUUCAGAGUCACUUAUGCUAUUGGGAAUCUGAAGAUACUGCUCUGUUACUACUUAAAGAAAUUUAUCGAACAAUGAACAUUAGUCCAGAACAGCCCCAGCAUUGAUCA